UCCCCAAUUUCUUAUACGCAUCCCUUUUACUUCGUAGGUGUUAGAGAGCGGAGUUUGAACAAUAUUUUCCCCCAAUCUCGUCACUCUCUUCUCUCCCAUACCUAACACCAUCACAAAGCAACCAUCGACGUUUACUGCAUCCACCUCCGACAUGGCAUCACCACCACUGCUACACCGCACCACUGUGCACCACAGAUUUAAACUUCAGCCAACGAAUCUCCCUCUAUUCUCCACUCGACUUUAGUUAGGAUGCACUCGAGUGGAUGGUAAUUUUUUUAAACAAGUGAGGAAAUUGCUAGUAUUGAUUAUAGAGUAUGAGAUAACACGAUUUAUUCAACCUAACAUGAAGUUUGCGGAAGAAGUUUAUCUACAAUUAAGUUUCAAAAAAAGUUUCUUUCGAAUUGACAUAUUUGAUUCAAAAAAGUUCAAAAAUAUUGAUAAAAAAACAAUGGAAAUUUUAUUAUGUUUUA